CAGCAGCCGCGGUAAUACGUAGGGUGCGAGCGUUAAUCGGAUUUACUGGGCGUAAAGCGUGCGCAGGCGGCCCGUUAAGACAGGUGUGAAAUCCCUGGGCUCAACCUAGGAAUUGCGCUUGUGACUGGCGGGCUCGAGUACGGGAGAGGGGGGUGGAAUUCCUGGUGUAGCAGUGAAAUGCGUAGAGAUCAGGAGGAACACCGAUGGCGAAGGCAGCCCCCUGGGCCUGUACUGACGCUCAUGCACGAAAGCGUGGGGAGCAAACAGGAUUAGAUACCCUGGUAGUCCACGCCCUAAACGAUGGGUACUAGCCGUUUGGUGCGCGAUAGCGCUGAGUGGCGAAGCUAACGCGUGAAGUACCCCGCCUGGGGAGGACGGCCGCAAGGUUGAAACUGAAAGGAAUGGCGG
rnacentral:rRNA from 1 species